UCUGCCUGCGCAUUGUGUGUC
rnacentral:siRNA from 1 species